rnacentral:snRNA from 1 species
AUGCUUAUCUGGCAAGAGAGAUACUGUCUUCAAGAAGGUGGUUCACCCAGGGUGAGGCUCAGCUAUUGCACUUUGGCUGUACUGACCCCUGUGAAUUUUCCAAAUGUUGAAAUCACUAUUGCAUAAUUUCUGGUAGUGGGGGACUUUGUUUGUCUUCUCCCCUG